GCUUGGUCUACAUAAUGAGUUCCAAGACAGACAGCACUCCAUAGACAGAUCCUGUCUCAAGGAAACAAGCAAGCAAGCACACAAAUACAAAAAAAGUAUGAAAGUCCAGACCACAUGAUUCUAUCUGGUACCAGGAACCCUCAAGCAGAGGCCAGAGCCAUGAGAGCAUUGCAGGAAGACUCUGGAAACAGGCCCAGGAAGAGGACAGUUACUGGAGUGAGGAGCCCAGCACAGUCCCAGACCAAAAGGUUCAACACGUGCUGAGCUCACAGGCGUGUGCCACCACACCCAGCUUCAGCUUCAAGUCUUCAAGGUGCUACUGUGGAGACGGGCAAUACAGCUGCGGCCUCGGGAGACUGAGGGCCUGAAGGAAGGAAGGCAAAGAGAAAAGAAGGUGAAAGAAAACCAGUGGGGACCUGUUCUCAGUUGGUGCCCACUGCUCUAGUUAGAGCUUUCUCCCCACCACCAGCCUCACCUCAUAGUACGCCUCUUCUUGCUGGCAGUGACUGCAGGAAGCGAAGGCUUGCGGCCCUUCGUGAAUAUGAAGACAGGUAACCACCUGUCUGGACUCUCUGGACCCCAUCACUGCUCUCGGUCAGUGUGCACUCAAGAAACACAAACUCAUUUGGAAAAGCAGCCUCAAGGCCUUUGUGAAAGCAGGCAGGACAUUAAUUAAAGAGGACACAGCACAAACUCUGUAUCUUUUGAGCCACUGUUUAUGAGGAACAUUUGAACUCUUUUGAAAAAGUGGGCAUUGGGAGAAAUAAGCAACCUGGCUAUCAGACAACCCGGGACUGACUGUGUUU
rnacentral:lncRNA from 1 species